rnacentral:rRNA from 1 species
AGAGUUUGAUCCUGGCUCAGAUUGAACGCUGGCGGAAUGCUUUACACAUGCAAGUCGAACGGCAGCACGGGGCAACCUGGUGGCGAGUGGCGAACGGGUGAGUAAUACAUCGGAACGUGCCCAAUCGUGGGGGAUAACGUAGCGAAAGUUACGCUAAUACCGCAUAGGAUCUACGGAUGAAAGCGGGGGAUCGCAAGGCCUCGCGCGAUUGGAGCGGCCGAUGUCGGAUUAGCUAGUUGGUAGGGUAAAGGCCUACCAAGGCGACGAUCCGUAGCGGGUCUGAGAGGAUGAUCCGCCACACUGGGACUGAGACACGGCCCAGACUCCUACGGGAGGCAGCAGUGGGGAAUUUUGGACAAUGGGCGAAAGCCUGAUCCAGCCAUGCCGCGUGAGUGAAGAAGGCCUUCGGGUUGUAAAGCUCUUUCAGCCGGAAAGAAAUCGCGCAGGAUAAUACUCUGCGUGGAUGACGGUACCGGAAGAAGAAGCACCGGCUAACUACGUG